rnacentral:rRNA from 1 species
CCUACGGGCGGCAGCAGUGGGGAAUAUUGGGCAAUGGAGGAAACUCUGACCCAGCAACGCCGCGUGAAUGAUGAAGGUCUUCGGAUUGUAAAGUUCUUUUCUACGGGAAGAAGAAAGUGACGGUACCUGACUAAUAAGCCCCGGCUAACUACGUGCCAGCAGCCGCGGUAAUACGUAGGGGGCAAGCGUUAUCCGGAUUUACUGGGUGUAAAGGGAGCGUAGGCGGUUUAGCAAGUCAGAAGGGAAAGCCCGGGGCUCAACUCCGGGACUGCCUUUGAAACUGUUGAACUAGAUUGCAGGAGAGGUAAGUGGAAUGCCUAGUGUAGCGGUGAAAUGCGUAGAUAUUAGGAGGAACACCAGUGGCGAAGGCGGCUUACUGGACUGUAAAUGACGCUGAGGCUCGAAAGCGUGGGGAGCAAACAGGAUUAGAUACCCUUGUAGUC